rnacentral:rRNA from 1 species
UACGGAGGGAGCUAGCGUUGUUCGGAAUUACUGGGCGUAAAGCGCACGUAGGCGGCUUUGCAAGUUAGAGGUGAAAGCCCGGGGCUCAACUCCGGAAUUGCCUUUAAAACUGCAUCGCUAGAGUUGUGGAGAGGUAAGUGGAAUUCCGAGUGUAGAGGUGAAAUUCGUAGAUAUUCGGAAGAACACCAGUGGCGAAGGCGGCUCACUGGACUGGUAUUGACGCUGAGGUGCGAAAGCGUGGGGAGCGAACAGG